rnacentral:rRNA from 1 species
UACGAAAGGUGCAAGCGUUACUCGGAAUCACUGGGCGUAAGCGCACGUAGGCGGACUCGCAGGUCAAUUGUGAAAUACCUGGGCUCAACCCGGGAACUGCAGUUGAAACCGCUUGUCUUGAAUACCUGAGAGGGUGGGGAAUACCUGGUGGAGAAGUGAAAUUCGUAGAGAUCAGGUGGAACACCGGAGGCGAAGGCGCCUGCCUGGCAGUGUAUUGACGCUGAGGUGCGAAAGUGCGGGGAGCAAACAGG